AUUGAACGCUGGCGGAAUGCUUUACACAUGCAAGUCGAACGGUAACAGGUUAAGCUGACGAGUGGCGAACGGGUGAGUAAUACAUCGGAACGUGCCCAGUCGUGGGGGAUAACGUAGAGAAAUUUACGCUAAUACCGCAUACGAUCUAAGGAUGAAAGCGGGGGACCGUAAGGCCUCGCGCGAUUGGCGAGGCCGAUGUCAGAUUAGGUAGUCGGUGGGGUAAAGGCCUACCAAGCCGACGAUCUGUAGCUGGUCUGAGAGGACGACCAGCCACACUGGGACUGAGACACGGCCCAGACUCCUACGGGAGGCAGCAGUGGGGAAUUUUGGACAAUGGGCGCAAGCCUGAUCCAGCCAUUCCGCGUGCAGGAUGAAGGCCCUCGGGUUGUAAACUGCUUUUGUACAGAACGAAAAGGUCUGGGUUAAUACCCUGGGCUCAUGACGGUACUGUAAGAAUAGGCACCGGCUAACUACGUGCCAGCCGCCGCCGUAA
rnacentral:rRNA from 1 species